rnacentral:rRNA from 1 species
GUGGGGAAUAUUGCGCAAUGGGGGAAACCCUGACGCAGCAACGCCGCGUGAUUGAAGAAGGCCUUCGGGUUGUAAAGAUCUUUAAUUGGGGACGAAAUAAAUGACGGUACCCAAAGAAUAAGCUCCGGCUAACUACGUGCCAGCAGCCGCGGUAAUACGUAGGGAGCAAGCGUUAUCCGGAUUUACUGGGUGUAAAGGGCGAGUAGGCGGGCCGACAAGUUGGGAGUGAAAUCCGGGGGCUUAACCCCCGAACUGCUUUCAAAACUGUUGGUCUUGAGUGAUGGAGAGGCAAGCGGAAUUCCUAGUGUAGCGGUGAAAUGCGUAGAUAUUAGGAGGAACACCAGUGGCGAAGGCGGCUUGCUGGCUCGAUACUGACGCUGAGGUGCGAAAGCGUGGGGAGCAAACAGGAUUAGAUACCCGGGUAGUCC